UUAUUUUAAUAAAUAUAUUUAUUUAUUAUAUUUAAGUAUUCAUGAAAUUUGAAUAUAAUUCUAGGUAAAAAUUUGAUAAUGACAAAGUUUUAUCUAUUUGUCUUGACCAAAUCUUGUGCCAGCAGUCGCGGCAACACAAGGAAGACAAGUGUUAUUCAUCUUAAAUCGGUUUAAGGGGUACCUAGACGGUAAAUUAGGCCAUAGUAGGAACGUUUUUACUAGAGUUAUACAUGCAUGGGGAUUGUGUCAGUAUUACCAGAGUAGAGAUGAAAUUUUUUGAUACUGUUAAGACUGGUAAAGGC
rnacentral:rRNA from 2 species